CCGAGGGAAAUGAGCCAAAAGUUUCCAGGAGGGAAUGGGACUACCAGCUGGAUAGAUAACGCCGGGGUGGAAGUCUUCUUUCCCUAGGAUGACCAGGCUAAAAACGGUGGCACAGUUUGGAGCAACACACUUCCAAAAAAGACUUCCCUGGGUGCUAGCGCUUGAAAGAGAUGGUUAAAGACGGAGGUGGGAGAAAACCCACGCCGAGCGACCUGCUGCCUGAUGCUUUCCGCUGGGGAGCCAAAGCGCCCGCAGACGGCAGUGGGGAGCCAGUUCGGGUUCCCCCACACUGAUUUUUGGCGAGAUUUGGGUACGCCACUUCCCCGGCCGGCUGCUAAUGAAGGGCCAGCGCUGCCGUGCCGUGGUUCAGCGUUUGCAAACAGCCCCGAGGUCCUCGGCAAGGUGUCCGUGGGCGGAAAUAGCUGCAGGCUUGGGAGCGCGGAUCCGCGGACCUGCCUUCAAAGUGACUAACCGGCUCCUGAUUUCCGCUCGGGAAGGCACGGGACACGGGGAGAGGAAAUGAUAUCAGCUGGCAAACUGCUCGCGGCAGGUUGUUUUGGUCUCUGUCCUCGAUGCUGCUGCAUCCCUGUGCCGCAGGGAUCCCCUUUGCCCUGCCUGGCCUGGAAGCAACACCGUAAAUAGGAGUCAAAAGCCCGGACGGUCUCCGCUGGCUGCGUCACCCGUCCCGAUGCCGCGCCGCCCUCGGCAGGUGCCCGCUUGGUGCCACACCAGCCCGGGGCUCACCGCCAGCUCCGUGCAGCUCCCUUUGCUUCUGCAAAGCCCCCAACACUGCGCUCAUCCGUGUCGUAUCCGAGUGCCUGGGUGGAAGCCCGUGACCCAACGGAUCUCCCRGCCGCUGCUUUGCCCCUUCGUUCUCCGGGGCCACCGGCUUGGUUGGACCCGGCCCCACACGGAUGCUACUCGUUAGCGUGGAGAUGCAAUGUUUAAUGCAGACGUGGGAUUGCUUCCGUCACAGCCGGCCACGGCACCUACACGCCCAAGCAACCCGCGGGCARUAUAGAAAUCAAGGCGAUCCUGGCUUCACACGGGGACCAGGGCUUGUCCCAAGAGGUUUCUCCAUCUCGGAGGAGAUUAGGGCAGGAGCCCCCCAGGACCUGACCCCGCGCCGGGCUCUGGGCAGGUCGCCGCCUUCCCCGGCCUCCCCGGUGCACGCCAGGACCCCGGGGCUCACCGCAAGCCUCUUGGCAGCCCCAGCGAGCUGAGCUCAUUCUUCCCAGCUGAUGAUUUACUCAGGAAUGUUUCCGAGGUCAGUUCGCCACCAGAAAAAUGCUCCCGAACGCCCAGCGAGAAGCUGCCGCGUCUCGAGCGCCCGCCCCGCUCGCUCGGCCUAAAAGUCACCCCGAUGACUAACCCCGGCGUCAGCGAGAGGGGGGCCGACGCGCCGCUGUUUGAUCGCACUGCGUUCUCCGGGAAGCCAAAUUUCAGGCUGUCGCAAGGUUCUCACCACUUCCCGAUAGCGGUUUCCUGCAAUGGCAUGAACACGCGCAUAUUUGGGAGCUGAGUCAGGCCUGCAACGAGAACCACCUGGCCGGGCUCGCGCCGGCUGGGCUGCGGGAGCCUUCCCGGGGCGGACGGGCCCCCGGGCGUCAGGCUCGGCGUCUGCGGGGCAGAACCACCCAGGAGGGACGCGGCGUCCCACCGCGGCGCGCCGUCGCUGGCCAGGAUAGGAUAAAGCGGGACUCGCUGCCGUAAUUCUCACGGCUCUUCUCUUUCUUUGCUGGGUUGGGAAUCGCGUGCUUCGGCCACCCCGGCGCCGGGGAAAAACUUGUGAAGGAGAAAGGGCAAAACUUUGCCCGGCCCUGCAGGGGAUGCGUGUCCUGCCCGCGCAGGGCAGCGCCGACGGCUCGGCUCCUCGGCCAUCCCGCGAAUAAACCCCGCCGAAGCGCCCCGGUGUGCGCCGAA
ensembl:lncRNA